UGGGGAAUCUUCCGCAAUGGGCGCAAGCCUGACGGAGCAACGCCGCGUGAGUGAAGAAGGGUUUCGACUCGUAAAGCUCUGUUGUCGGGGACGAAUGUGGAGAUGGUGAAUAACCAUUUCCAAUGACGGUACCUGACGAGGAAGCCACGGCUAACUACGUGCCAGCAGCCGCGGUAAUACGUAGGUGGCGAGCGUUGUCCGGAAUUAUUGGGCGUAAAGGGAGCGCAGGCGGGAGGUCAAGUCUAUCUUAAAAGUGCGGGGCUCAACCCCGUGAGGGGAUGGAAACUGGUCUUCUUGAGUGCAGGAGAGGAAAGCGGAAUUCCUAGUGUAGCGGUGAAAUGCGUAGAGAUUAGGAAGAACACCGGUGGCGAAGGCGACUUUCUGGACGAUAACUGACGCUGAGGCGCGAAAGCGUGGGGAGCAAACAGGAUUAGAUACCCUGGUAGUCCACGCCGUAAACGAUGGAUACUAGGUGUAGGGGGGUCAAACCUUCUGUGCCGGAGCCAACACAAUAAGUAUCCCGCCUGGGAAGUACGGCCGCAAGGUUA
rnacentral:rRNA from 1 species